rnacentral:rRNA from 1 species
CCUACGGGGGGCAGCAGUGGGGAAUAUCGUACAAUGGGGGAAACCCUGACCCAGCAAUGCCGCGUGAGUGAAGAAGUACUUCGGUAUGUAAAGCUCUAUCAGACGGGAAGAGAAUGACGGUAGCUGACUAAGAAGCACCGGCUAACUACGUGCCAGCAGCCGCGGUAAUACGUAGGGGGCGAGCGUUAUCCGGAUUUACUGGGCGUAAAGGGAGCGUAGGCGGUUCUGCAAGUCUGAAGUGAAAUGCCGAGGCUUAACCGCGGAACGGCUUU